rnacentral:rRNA from 1 species
GGAGGGUCCAAGCGUUGUCCGGAUUUAUUGGGUGUAAAGGGUGUGUAGGCGGGCUUGUAAGUCAGAGGUGAAAUCCUACGGCUCAACCGUAGAACUGCCUUUGAAACUGCAGGUCUUGAGUCCUGGAGAGGUUGUUAGAAUUCGUGGUGUAGCGGUGAAAUGCGUAGAUAUCACGAGGAAUACCGGUUACGAAGGUUGACAACUGGACAGGUACUGACGCUGAGGCACGAAAGCGUGGGGAGCAAACAGGAUUAGAUACCCUGGUAGUCCACGCCGUAAACGAUGAUCACUCGGUGUCGCGGAGCAAUCUGCGGUGCCUAAGCUAACGCAUUAAGUGAUCCACCUGGGGAUACGAUCGCAAGGUUG